AAGGUCUUUGCUCAUCGGGCGGCAAAGCCUCGACGCAGCCGUCGCCGCGUGGGUGAUGAAGGCCUUCGGGUUGUAAAGCUCUUUCGGCGGGGACGAUAAUGACGGUACCUUGAAGAAUAAGCUUCGGCUAAUUACCUUGCCAGCAGCCUGCGGUAAUAAAA
rnacentral:rRNA from 1 species